UUGCUCGGCCCCGCCUCCCGCGCUCGGCCACCGGAUUGACUGGUCGCGUUCCCCGUCGCGCUCGGUGCUCCGGAGCAGAGCCAUGGCUACUUUCCGAUUGGCGCUCAUCCAGCUUCACGUUUCUUCCAUUAAAUCAGAUAACAUUGCCCGGGCUUGUAGCCUCGUCCGGGAGGCAGCCAAGCAAGGUGCCAAAGUGGUCUCCCUGCCGGAAUGCUUUAAUUCUCCAUAUGGAACAAACUACUUUCCUGAAUAUGCAGAGAAGAUUCCUGGAGAGUCCACACAGAAGCUCUCUGAAGUAGCAAAGGAGAAUAGCGUUUAUCUCAUUGGAGGCUCCAUCCCUGAAGAGGAUGCUGGGAAACUGUAUAACACCUGUGCUGUGUUUGGGCCUGAUGGAAGUUUAUUGGUAAAGCACAGAAAGAUCCAUCUGUUUGACAUUGAUGUUCCUGGGAAAAUUACAUUUCAAGAAUCUAAAACAUUGAGUCCUGGUGACAGUCUCUCCACAUUUGACACUCCUUACUGCAAAGUAGGCCUGGGCAUCUGCUACGAUAUGCGCUUCGCAGAACUGGCACAAAUCUAUGCACAGAGAGGCUGCCAGCUCUUAGUGUAUCCCGGAGCUUUCAAUCUGACCACUGGACCUGCCCACUGGGAGUUGCUCCAGCGAGCCCGGGCUGUUGAUAAUCAAGUGUACGUGGCUACAGCCUCUCCUGCCCGGGAUGACAAAGCCUCAUAUGUGGUCUGGGGACACAGCACUGUUGUGGAUCCUUGGGGACAGGUCCUAACCAAAGCUGGCACUGAAGAAAUGAUCCUAUACUCAGACAUAGACCUGAAGAAGCUGGCUGAAAUUCGGCAGCAAAUUCCCAUUUUAAAACAGAAAAGAACAGACCUUUAUGCAGUAGAGACAAAGAAGCCCUGAAAUUUGUUCCUGACAUAUCACAAGCAGGAUGGUUCUAAGCUCUUGUUGCACAGGGAAUAAAAGCUGCAAGACUGCAAACUUCCUUCAACAGCCACGCCCACAACACCUAAACAUGAAACAGAUGUAAUGAAUGACAACAUCACAAAGGGAAUACCAAGUUCCACCAUUCAACACAGUUCAUGACAGUGUGUUCAGGGUUCAGUUGAAGAGGGGCAUAUGGCUAACAUCAUGAACUACAGAUCUACAAAAUUUAGCAGAACCAGCAAUGCCAAUCAUUUAAUUUUAAGAUUACCAGUGUAAGAAAAUAGAAGCAAUUAUAUUAAAAUCAGAUCGAAAGCAAAAAGUUCCCACUGACUGAAAACAUGCUUUCUAUAGUAUCAAAGACAAGAAGUCAUUAGGAAUGCCACUGUCCUGGACAAGCAGAAAAACCUUAAAGAAAUUUAUAGCAUUGCUAAUUGUUCAUCAGCGUAUAAAUGAGAAUCACCCUGCACUUA